UACGAAGGGGGCUAGCGUUGUUCGGAAUUACUGGGCGUAAAGCGCGCGCAGGCGGUCUGUUAAGUUAGGGGUGAAAUCCCUGGGCUCAACCCAGGAAUGGCCUUUAAGACUGGCAGGCUUGAGUGCGGGAGAGGUGAGUGGAAUUCCCAGUGUAGAGGUGAAAUUCGUAGAUAUUGGGAAGAACACCAGUGGCGAAGGCGGCUCACUGGCCCGUAACUGACGCUGAGGCGCGAAAGCGUGGGGAGCAAACGGGAUUAGAUACCCUAGUAGU
rnacentral:rRNA from 1 species